rnacentral:lncRNA from 1 species
UCCUUUGAUAGCAGUGCACACCAACAUCAACUAUGACUUGCUUAGUACACUACACUAUAGCAUGGCAAACAUGUUAUUGCCACCUUCUGAAAUCUCUCUGGAGAUAUAACUGUUGCUUUAAAAGUCACACAUGGUUAUAGGUAAAAUAGUCUCUGUUUUAUUUUUCUCUCUGUUCAAAAGCCUAAAAAUAAUAUCUGAAAAAUAACACAGUAUAUAUACUCAAAAUCUGAGUAAAACGGAACUCCCAUCCUUAAAAAUACAUUUGCACAGUGGUUUGGAAAUACAUGCAUAUUUUUCCACCCAAGGCAUGUUCUCUAAAAUCGUUGUCCCUCACACAUUAAAUAAAACUAGAAAAAGAAAAAAAUUUUAUUCAAGAAUUUUUCAGUGACUAGAGGAAAAUAAAACAAUGGGAAAUAAAUCAAAAUCAUAAAUGUGAAUAUUUAGGUGCCAAGCAUAUUUGAUUUUUUUCUCUGCUUAAUGUUUUUCUAAACCUAUGUCAAAAAAAAGCAUACAAUUAUGUCGAUAAAAAUAUACUAUAUAUAAAAAAAGAAAUGAUCUGAAGUGA